CCUCUUUGCACCUUGCCGACAAUGUAUUUGUGUUUGUCGAUUGUAUUUCCUUUUUCUCCGUCUAACUGAUUUUACUUCUCUGUUCAAUCCCCUCAUCGAAUUCCAAAGAAACCAUCUAAAGCUCCAACUAGAAAUAUCUACUCUUUCAGCCAUGGUCAGCAAAGCUUCGACUAAAUCUAAGAAAAUUCUCUGUUAACUUGAGUCAACUCAGAGAGCAUGGAAGGAUCUCUAUCUCUGGUGCUUGCUUUGAUGCUGGACAAGGCAUCAUCCCCGUUCUACAAGAACCAACAUACUACAAGACCCUUCAUGGAACUUGCAUAACUAAAGCUCUUACAAAGCCUAAGGCUUGCAAAGUUGGAAUCUUCGAUGUUGGUACCGAGAAAGGUAGGUCGGUGGUGGAGAUCGUUUAAAUCGUCUUGCAAGAACCAUGAUCGGGAGUUUCACUGGAGCAAGAUUUCCUUAUGCUUUCAAUUUCUCGAUAUUACCAGAAAAUCAUCAUUACAUCCAGCAGCCCCACUUCAAAAACCCAUGUGGUAUGGUCCACCAAAGGGCCUUAAAUAGAAGUCAAACGUAUAUCUUCCUGGUCGAUGGUGGACUUACGCGAAGAUCACCAGGUUAUGUGCAGCUACUACACUUUCAGACGAUGGGUCAAGAGCAUAUGCUAGGUCCUGGAAGUUUCAGGGAUCAAUGGAUGGGACAACAUGGACGGACUUAAGAACUCUACGGUUACUUGGAACUCUAGGGUUACUUCCGUUGAAAACUACACUGCAGUGAAAUGACAUAUUGACUCUCUCCACUACACACGUGUGCCUUUCAAUUACCAUAUCUAGACACAGUGAUCGAGGGUUUCCAAGAGACAAAACAUUAAUAGAGCAGGUGGUAGCAGAUGAAAGCGAUAUGGAAGGUGUUACACCAGCUUGCUGUAGGAUACUGAACUGGCAUCUUCACUUGGAUGUCCUAGAUGUCCCUUAUCCACAAGGGGUUCAUUAACUUUUGAAGUCUCAGGUGUUCAGGAACUUAUGAGGAACUUAUAAGCAAAAAGUGAAGUUCAAGACCGUGAAAAGUUGGUGUAUUUAGUAUGAGAUGGAAUUAUAUUUUUUUUUCCUUUGGACAUAUACACGGCCAGAGUCUAGACCACAAUGAACAAAAUAAUGAGUCAUUCACAAUCAUUGCAUAAUUGUCCAUAUUCUGUGUCUAAAACGGUUACAAGUAUUUUCAAAGUGAAUGGUCUCUCGAGA